rnacentral:rRNA from 1 species
AGCGAACGCUGGCGGCAGGCCUAACACAUGCAAGUCGAACGAACCCUUCGGGGUUAGUGGCGGACGGGUGAGCAACACGUGGGAACGUGCCUUUAGGUUCGGAAUAACUCAGGGAAACUUGUGCUAAUACCGAAUGUGCCCUUCGGGGGAAAGAUUUAUCACCUUUAGAGCGGCCCGCGUCUGAUUAGCUAGUUGGUGAGGCAAUGGCUCACCAAGGCUACGAUCAGUAGCUGGUCUGAGAGGAUGACCAGCCACAUUGGGACUGAGACACGGCCCAAACUCCUACGGGAGGCAGCAGUGGGGAAUCUUGCGCAAUGGGCGAAAGCCUGACGCAGCCAUGCCGCGUGGAUGAUGAAGGUCUUAGGAUUGUAAAAUCCUUUCACCGGUGAAGAUAAUGACUGUAGCCGGAGAAGAAGCCCCGGCUAACUUCGUGCCAGCCGCCGCAGUAAGAC